rnacentral:lncRNA from 1 species
UCAAAAAUAGCUCCAGAAUACAUCACUUUUUAAUUUAGUUGUAAUUUGCACAUGCGUUGACCACCACCUUAAUCGGUGUUGACGUGGCGCUCGGAAUUUUCAGACGUGGACUUAACGGCAUUCAAAACGACGCCGUUUUGAGUGAAUAUAAAUAAAAAUAAAAAUAAAAAUAAAAACCAAAAAAAGAGGGAAAUUUUUUCCAGUUCUUCGUCACCGGCCUUUUCUGCUUUCUCUCUGUACGCGAAUGGCCUCACAACGGUGCCCCCCGUUCUUCCUCACCGGCGUUGAUGCCGAGCACCACCGCCACCUUUUCCAGACGCACCAUCGCCACCUUCUUUUCGCACAACAUCAGCGUCACCCCCCUCUUCCCCAAAAAAAUCUAAUUAUUUGGAAAUCUGGAAAUCUGCAAAAAAAAAAAAAAAAAAAAAAAAAAAAAACUAGAUAUGCGGUGGUGGUUAUGGUGGAGGUGAGGCGGCGCGAACUGGGUGGAGGCGACGCAAAUCUAGAUCUGUGGCGGUGACAGAAAGGAGAGGGGAUUUCAGAGAGAUUUAGGGAUUUAAGCAAAAGGGUUUCUGAAAUGGGGAGAAUUUUUGGGGGUUUUGGUGUUUUUGGGGA